UUAAAAUGGCUACAGACUAUAGAUGCGCAUAUCACUUGAUUGAUUCUGUAUGGAUUCCUCACAGAGUAUACUAAAGGGGAAGUGCGAAAGAAUGUUUGGACUGUGCCCAAUUAGACCUGAAUUGUUCCUCUGACAAACGAAUUUCUACAGUACAUUGAUGCACGCUUGAUGGAGAUCCCUUCAGUGGAGGUGACCAAUGAUAGCCGCGACGAAGCAAAUGACAUGGUUGCCCGGUCUGGUUCCGGCGCUGCUGCUGCAGACGGGCUAGCCGUGGCAUCGUGCGCAGCUGUCCCACCGGAUUCGACUACCCUGUGACAUUUGGCCUCGGCUAAACCCCCUCCGGUCAGCUCCUCGUGUCCCCUUCGUCCUCUUCUAUGUGAUCUGUGGUACCAUGGCUGUGGUGACUAUAUUCUCCGCAUUUUUGUGGUGUGGUUCUCAGUUCUCCUGUUGUACUAGAUAUAAUUUUGUUGCUGUAAAAAAUGAAUCUUGAGGUAUGUAAUUGUGCAACAUUUUAUAUAUUUUUGGCUACAAUGGUAUCUCUAGUCUAGUGCUAGUGGGCAUGCUCAUCUCGGUUCUAUGUAAUAGUAUACUAAAUAGAAAGCAAGUCAUUCUUCUACAUGAGAUUUUAUUUCUGGCUUUUGUUUCAUUUGCGUACAUGGUGUUGGAUGAAAAAAAGGGAAAAUCAAAUGAGCUAGGUGUUUUAUGUGCUAGCUAAAAACUCUAGUCUACAUGUUGUAGUGGCCUAGCCUGACUUGGAAAAUUAGUAUUUCUGAAUAUUUUGUAUUUCUUGUGUAGCAGCGACUCAAUAUAUCUGCAUCUGCUGCAAGUUAAAUACACUUUAGACUAAUAGUGAAGAUGUUAAUUCAUAUCAAUUAAUUAGUCUUUUUGAACAGUGCCUAACUUUUAUUCUUUACUUGUGAUUUCUGUGAUUGAGUCUGGAGUUUGGCUUGUUUGCAUUCACAAAGCUAUCAAUAUUGUUAGUACACCCAGCAGUUCUGUUAGUUGGCAUAAAUGACUGGAAAGCUAUGAAUUUCCAUCUACCUCUUGGUUAGAAAUAUGUGAAACCGUUAGUCGAGUUUAUUUAAUAAAAUGUUUAUUUUUAAUGCUCCAGGUUUGCAGUUUUACUACGAAAACUCAGAUCUGCAGUUUUCUUUUGGAGAAUUCUUAAGUUUUUAGUGCAGAAGAUGCAAACUAAUGCACAUUAUGGGGCGUAGGGUGGUGACGGAAGUGGCUCAAUGUCAGCGCUGGAUCCAGCGACCCCGACUGCAGUUGCUCUGAGUACGAGGACUACCACCGACAAGGUCUACUUCACUUGCCCACCUUAAUUUUUCCACCAUCCCCUCCCGUUUCUGCUCUGACUUAUCGAUUUUGGUAUUGGAGUUUUUGAGCUCGGCUAUGAGAGGGGAACACACCGCAAUUUUCCGAUGCAGGCUUUUCCAGUGCAGGCAGUGAUUUUCUCAUUCUUAAAAAUGAUUAGAGAAUUCUCACACUCCACAAUAGCUAGAUUCUCUAACUAAAGCUUUUUCACAUUGGAGAACACAAUAGGUAGAUUCUCAAACUAAAGCUUUUUCAUGUCUAACUUAUUCAGUCCAAUUGUCCAUUGCUUGCUCUCGUGUGUGAGUACAUGGCCUUGCGGUAUUGCUAUUUGAAUGUGACCAAUACAAUUUUUUCUAUGAUGUGAGUGUUGUGCCGGCGACCGAGACCUCCACUAUGAUGUUUGGCUUCUACUACUUCGUCCGGCAGACCUCCACCAAUACUUUGUUUCUGUUACAAGUUGGGUACUUUCUUGUUAUACAAUUUGGGUACUCUCCUAUCAAGUUGGGUUUUAUUUUACCAAGUAUCUUGUCGAAGAGGUCAAGAUGGACAUCAAGAAGCCUGACACCAUUCACGAUUAUUCAAUCGUGGAGCAUGCUGUCACCUAUGGCCAACUUACUGCCGUCAAGGACAUUCUUGAUCAUGGCGCUGAUCUGCAUCAUAAACCUUCAGGUUUGAUGUGCUGGGAUUUUAAAAGUCAUCUUAUGCUCAAAUGUGGGCACUAAAUUUACUGAAACUUAGCGUAGCAUGAAGGUUUGAUAUGAUUCGGUAUCGAGGUCCCUAGGUCACUUCCAUCAUUCAAGAAGAACUUGAAGAAGGCAAGAACAUGUGAGCUCUGGUACAUGUGUUGGAAGCUCUUCCUUGGUCACUUGACUCGACCAAGGCGUCGAGGGCGACAAGGAACGAGUUCUAGAGUGUCUUAGCCUUCCUCUUACAGUUUCCCCACUACCUGCCACUGAGCUCCAGGAGCAAGAUGGUAGCGGUGGCAGGGAGCGAGGGAUCGACUGUGCAACGGUGACAAUUGUCUGAGCUGGUGAGGGAAACAACACAGAGACGAAAAAAGCCGUCCCUGAGGUUAUAUUCACAGUGGCAUGCUUUACUACAGCUUGCAGGCUUGACCUGGAGCUUGCGGUCAUGCAUAUCAGCUGGUCAAAACAAUGAUUUGAGGGUGGAUCAAGCCUUUUCUGGUUUGAACCUUAUGCUGAUAAGAUCAGAAGCUUUAUUAUCAUGAACUGCACACACCGUUUAAAUUUGAUUCCGAUCAGUCGAAGGAAAUUUCAUGAAGAAAAUUAGGUGCGAGCAGCUCAACGAGAUUAAUAUGCUUUCCAGGCAAGAAGCACAGAAAAUAUAGCUUUUUCCUAGUACUAAAUUUGUCAAGGAUAUAUGUAUCUUGCAUGGUGGCUCCGCUCUUUAUGCAUCAUUAGGCACAAGGCUAGCUAAAGAAAGAAGACGAUGAACAAGACUAGGAAGGACAACCUAGAUGCUUGUUAUACUUUGUACAUGUAAUGUGGCCACUUCGGAGUCCGAAAGUGUGACCUGGAAAGCCAGGCCUGGUCCUACCGCGGUGCUUUCUCGUGAAGGUAGAAGUGGAGAAAGUCGCUUAAUGGAAUCCAUAAUCCCGGCUGGUUAUCUUUACCUAGGCACUACUGGGCCGUGAUUAAUGGGAUUGGAACUAAUUUUUGACCCGUGAGCUGUUGACCCAAUUUAACACGGCGUUAUGUGUAGUUUCACGAGACAGAAUGACAAGUCAUCAGCGAUCUGCACUACAGUUCGUCUGGACUGAACAUCAUCUCCAUCGCUAGUUCCCAACAAGCAGUUCAUCGUCUUCCCUCCAGCCUAGCUCGCUCCAUAUAUAUUAGUUUGUCCUCACCGACCAUGUGUGGGAUAUAGCUUGUAUGGAUAUGAGAAAAGGUCUGGCCUUGAUUGCUAUCAUUUGGGAGGUCACUGUACUUGUAAUAGCAGCUGGGAGGAGACAUGCUGCAGCUAGGAAGGAGAAGUGGAGGGGCAAGGAGAAGUACGAGGAGCUCAAGUGAAAUCCUCCAAAACAACCAAGUUUCUUGUCCCUUGACUAACUCAAGAUAAAACCUUGAAUUAAGAGUAUCAAGAAAUCAGGCCCUUAAGUACAUCUGAAGAAUGGUGUACAAGUGAAGUUGUAGAGGAAUGCUCGCAGUGUCCUGGAAGCUCCAACUGCCUGAGGUACUCCUACCAGCAUCCAACCAAACCUAUCGCCGCCAUCUUCCCCAUCCAUGCACCCGAGGUUGCUGGUGGCGAUCGCGCUCCAUCAGUCCGAUAAGGUAUGCAGUGGUAGAUGCGGCGCGCUGCUAGUGUUGCUGAAUAGGACGCCGAUUUCCUUGCCGCUGCUAUCGGCACACUGUUGUUGGCCAUGGUUGACAAGGACUUCCUUGAGCACAUGUUGUCUAGGAUGGAUACGCUGACAACAUCAACAUCAACUAUGGUGUUGAGGCAAGAACUUGGGAGGCUCUUCCUUGGUCACUCGACUUGACGAAGGCGACAGGGAACGAGUUCGAGAUGGCAGUGGUGGCUUUUACAGUUUCCCCACUGCCUGCCACUGAGCACUAGGAGCAAGAUGGCAGCAGUGGCAGGAAGUGAGGGAUCGACUGUGCAACGGCAACAGCCAGACGCCAGGAGCUGUGUGAGAUAGUGAGAAGCAUCGAUUCAAAAAACGGCGUGGUUCAGUACUGGAGUCUCCAGAGAGGUUGUUAGAGAAGAGCUAGAUCAGAACAAGGUGGGGCAAAGAAGAGAUGUGGCUGACGAGGUACCUAGAUCGUGGCAAUAAGCUGGGGCGGCGAUCUGCCACAGUCCCACCACGUGCUGCCGGAGGUUGUGGUGGGGUGGUCACCAGCUGCGCUUGUAGGAGGCCGGCCACAAGCUGCUUGAGAUCCACUUGCAGGAGCCAGCGGAGUGUAUGCAAUCUAUCAGAACUUAGAGGCUAGUUAGAAUUUGCAUUACUAGCCGUCCUGUGGCUGGUAAUUGAUAGUAUUGCGCAUAACCGGACGAAUUCAUAUGUGUCAAACUUGUACUUGUGUUAGGAGCAUACAUGCAUCGGCCAGGAGCUGACGAGGCUUGUCAUUGUAGCGUUGCAUCCUCAAACCUGAAAGAAUAAUAGCUAGAGCGCCUGGUGAUGUAGCACUUGCUUGCACUAUUCUUGUAUGGCGCUUAUAGUUACUUGAGAAAUGAAGACAGUUGGGUGUACAGUAUUGAAAAAUGAAA